AGGGGACUCCUCCACACUAUGAGUGGAAACUUCCGACCGGUUUCAUCGUCGUUUUUACAUCGGUACUUACUGCAUACCUGUGCAGCCGUAAGCGGAGUAGAGUGAAGUACAACUCUUCUUGAAUCGUUGGCCCCACCAUCAGGAUAUCAUUUAAGGUCGACUAGGACGCUGUUUUGCAGAAGGUAUCGAACACGACGGAAAGGGAGGCAGACUUAACAAACUCGAACUUUUGAUCGCAGAGAGACGCCCAAACGUGCUAAAGUUUCGUAGUAAAUGAUCUUCUGCAUUGCGAAAGCUACAAGUUUGCUGAGGCUUGCUGUUGGAGGACGAACACGAAAAUGAGCUACGAUGUGACUUCCUUGACAAUAAUUUGGAAUGCGACUCUGCAGCUGAUAAAUAAUGAUAUCGGCGAUUGAACAUUUUUUCGAAAUCGGACCAAUGCGGCAAAGUCUCAUAAUCGAGCUGUUCCUCAUAUUUUCGUUUGGUCACUGUGUUGACUCUAUUCAAUACCAAAUAAAUCAACAUUGCAUUCGAAAUUCCUAUCAAAAACAGAGAACCAUAAAUCGACAAAAGAGUUCCGAUAAGGUUUCUCAAGGAGGAUGCGGACUGUUGCGAUGUUUUCGGAAGACUAAACAAUGUUGAAAUAUUAUUCGUAAAGAUUAGGCAUUCGUUAUCGUAAGCCUUUUUUGAACUGGUCAGUGCCUUUUCGUAAUUUCUCUCAGUGACUUGUUCCAAAAAGGCUUAUGAAAUUUUCGAGUUGGCGCUACAUAAGCUGAUCCAGGAGUUUCGCUUAUACUUGCUGUCUUUAAAACAGACAACAUCGAAAAUAACUUAAAUUGCCAAACUUGCGUAAUCACAUGGAAGAUAAGGACAGCAAUAACAUUUCGAGUAGCUUUAGAGAAAAGCACGUGAAAGAAGAGCACAAGUAUACUACAUCGAAAGCUUGUAUAGACUCUCGCGAUUCUGAGCAAUUGUAACAAGGGAACACAGUAAGCAGAAAUUAAAAAUAUACAAUAGCUGGACUUGGAAGUUUAGAAACUUUUGACUUGACGUAUCCAGCCAAGUGGACAUCGUAUUUAGAGCGUUUCAACUUGUUCCUGCUGGCAAAUGAGGUCAAGGACGAAGAGCAAAAAAUGGUUUGUGGAUUUCCUAACUCUGGCCGGCGGUCCGCUGUAUGGCUUUUUUACAUCAUUGGCCUCACCAACUACAGUGAGUAAGCUGGAGUUAAGCGAAGUCUCAUCUCGAGACUGUUUGCCACUCAUGCGGCAUAAAAGGCUAUUUACAACGCGUCUGUCUGAAUCGCCUAGGGACAACGUAGUACGUAUCAUUUUACAUUCCCAGGGAAUUCGCAAUUCAUAAUAUACUGCCGUUGACAAACCAAAAGAGGUCCAUAUCUAACAUUAUAAACGGCUGCACCUGUGUGUAUUCAUUCAAAGUAGAUUCGGGGUCUCCAGUGACUAUUAUGAAGGAAUCAACAUUCCACUAUAUCUGGCCCAACGGAAGGGCAUACCUUAAUAGAUGCGAUUUGGAGUGAAACGAUUUUCAGAAGAAUCAAAAUCUAUUGCAUGGAGUCAUCUAUGUUUCUAUUUGCUGCAAUCAAAAACAUAUCGGAAAUCUGCCACUGGUUAUUGUUGAAGGUGGCGGCUCAUAGUUGCUAGGGUGCAACUGGUUUUAGGCACUCGGUAAAAAUAACAAUUACAAAACACACAAGUCAACACUUGCUGAGCCUUUACAUCGGUUACUUUACAAAACUACUAAUUGGACCUAGUAGCGCCAACUUGAGGACGUUUUCUUUGCGCUAAAGGAACUAAUUACUUCCGACAAUUUGAUAGUUCCCUAUGAUUGCAAGUCGCCGUUAAUGUAUGAAUCAGAAACUAUGCUGCAGGUCCCAAUUGGAAGAGGAUGGGUUGCGACCCAAACCGGACCCAUUUCGUACAAUCUUCGUUUUUUCCGACCAUCGCACUUCGUAGUCGACAGACGUCAUUACAGAGCAGCGGCAAUGCGAACACAAUCGAGGACUUCGAAUACCUCUGGAACCAUGAUCCAUUUUCCGAAACCAUCGAAGAACCCGACCCUGACCACCCAUCUACUCCAGCUGCUUCGGAGACAGUACCACCUAGUGAUCAACUAUCAGUGCAACCGCCGGUAGCCGCGCUACGUAGAUCCAAGCGUAGCAUACAACAUCCGGAAGUAUAUGAUCCAUCCGGGUGUUAACGAGUGUUGUGUAUGUUCAAAGUAUCGCGCCCAAAUUAGUUAGAGCUGUAAACACACGGCAUUGUCAGAUCAACAUUUGAUCACCGAUAGAAUAUCCUCGGUCGAGUACUCAGCACGUCAGGCGACUCGUCCACCGCGCAUCAAGCUGCCGAAAAUAUGACGUUAUCAUCCUGUAACUAGUUCGUAUAAUAAGCCAGUGAAGUGGGUUCACAACUUACACGAUUAAGAAUAUUUAGUUCAAAACUUCUAAAGCACGACAGCUUUGGUAAUGUAAACUGCAAAAUUUUAAUGGACAUAAAAACUUCUGUACUUUCUAGAAAUAUCGUAAGCUGUAUUACAUGUAAUACAUUUAACCUAAUAUACUAUAAGUAGUUGGAAAAUGACUCGAGAAAAACUUUUGAAUUAAUCAAGAAUUUUUUAUUGAAAAUAACAAUGGUAGUAUUUAUUGUACAUCAACCAAUAUUAAAUAAUUUUCAUAAUUUCCAUAUAUUUAUUUAUUUAACAAAAUUAAAUAUAGUAUACAAUACUAAACCUAAUUAAAUUUAAUGAGUACUAGCUACGGGGUCCUUUGACUCGAGACUUAUGGGUUAAUUGCUUUAUAUAAUAAACU